rnacentral:rRNA from 1 species
UUGGAGGGCAAGUCUGGUGCCAGCAGCCGCGGUAAUUCCAGCUCCAAUAGCGUAUAUUAAAGUUGUUGCAGUUAAAAAGCUCGUAGUUGAAUUUCGGGAUCAGUUGGUCGGUCGUGCCUCGGUACGUACUGGUCAAAUUGAUUCCUACCUUCUGACGAACCACGAUGUCAUUAAUUUGGUGUCGCGGGAAAUCAGGACUGUUACUUUGAAAAAAUUAGAGUGUUUAAAGCAGGCUCGCGCUUGAAUACAUUAGCAUGGAAUAAUGAAAUAGGACGUUUGAUUCUAUUUUGUUGGUUUCUAGGAUCGACGUAAUGAUUAAUAGGGAUAGUUGGGGGCAUUAGUAUUCAAUUGUCAGAGGUGAAAUUCUUGGAUUUAUUGAAGACUAACUACUGCGAAAGCAUUUGCCAAGGAUGUUUUCAUUAAUCAAGAACGAAAGUUAGGGGAUCGAAGACGAUCAGAUACCGUCGUAGUCUUAACCAUAAACUAUGCCGACUAGGGAUCGGAUGAUGUUAAUUUUUUAAUGACCCAUUCGGCGCCUUACGGGAAAC